rnacentral:rRNA from 1 species
CCUACGGGAGGCAGCAGUGAGGAAUAUUGGUCAAUGGACGAAAGUCUGAACCAGCCAUGCCGCGUGCAGGAAGACGGCUCUAUGAGUUGUAAACUGCUUUUGUACGAGGGUAAACGCAGAGAUGCGUAUCUGUCUGAAAGUAUCGUACGAAUAAGCAGCGGCUAACUCCGUGCCAGCAUCCGCGGUAAUACGGGGGAUUCAAGCGUUAUCCGGAUUUAUUGGGUUUAAAGGGUGUGUAGGCGGUCGGAUAAGUUAGAGGUGAAAGCCCGAGGCUCAACUUCGGAAUUGCCUCUGAUACUGUUCGGCUAGAGAGUAGUUGCGGUAGGCGGAAUGUAUGGUGUAGCGGUGAAAUGCUUAGAGAUCAUACAGAACACCGAUUGCGAAGGCAGCUUACCAAGCUACUUCUGACGUUGAGGCACGAAAGCGUGGGGAGCAAACAGGAUUAGAUACCCUGGUAGUC